UUAAGCGACUAAGCGUACACGGUGGAUGCCCUGGCAGUCAGAGGCGAUGAAGGACGUGCUAAUCUGCGAUAAGCGUCGGUGAGGUGAUAUGAACCGUUAUAACCGGCGAUUUCCGAAUGGGGAAACCCAGUGUGUUUCGACACACUAUCAUUAACUGAAUCCAUAGGUUAAUGAGGCGAACCGGGGGAACUGAAACAUCUAAGUACCCCGAGGAAAAGAAAUCAACCGAGAUUCCCCCAGUAGCGGCGAGCGAACGGGGAGCAGCCCAGAGCCUGAAUCAGUGUGUGUGUUAGUGGAAGCGUCUGGAAAGGCGCGCGAUACAGGGUGACAGCCCCGUACACAAAAAUGCACAUACUGUGAGCUCGAUGAGUAGGGCGGGACACGUGGUAUCCUGUCUGAAUAUGGGGGGACCAUCCUCCAAGGCUAAAUACUCCUGACUGACCGAUAGUGAACCAGUACCGUGAGGGAAAGGCGAAAAGAACCCCGGCGAGGGGAGUGAAAAAGAACCUGAAACCGUGUACGUACAAGCAGUGGGAGCCUCUUUUAUGGGGUGACUGCGUACCUUUUGUAUAAUGGGUCAGCGACUUAUAUUCUGUAGCAAGGUUAACCGAAUAGGGGAGCCGAAGGGAAACCGAGUCUUAACUGGGCGUUAAGUUGCAGGGUAUAGACCCGAAACCCGGUGAUCUAGCCAUGGGCAGGUUGAAGGUUGGGUAACACUAACUGGAGGACCGAACCGACUAAUGUUGAAAAAUUAGCGGAUGACUUGUGGCUGGGGGUGAAAGGCCAAUCAAACCGGGAGAUAGCUGGUUCUCCCCGAAAGCUAUUUAGGUAGCGCCUCGUGAAUUCAUCUCCGGGGGUAGAGCACUGUUUCGGCAAGGGGGUCAUCCCGACUUACCAACCCGAUGCAAACUGCGAAUACCGGAGAAUGUUAUCACGGGAGACACACGGCGGGUGCUAACGUCCGUCGUGAAGAGGGAAACAACCCAGACCGCCAGCUAAGGUCCCAAAGUCAUGGUUAAGUGGGAAACGAUGUGGGAAGGCCCAGACAGCCAGGAUGUUGGCUUAGAAGCAGCCAUCAUUUAAAGAAAGCGUAAUAGCUCACUGGUCGAGUCGGCCUGCGCGGAAGAUGUAACGGGGCUAAACCAUGCACCGAAGCUGCGGCAGCGACGCUAAGCGUUGUUGGGUAGGGGAGCGUUCUGUAAGCCUGUGAAGGUGUGCUGUGAGGUAUGCUGGAGGUAUCAGAAGUGCGAAUGCUGACAUAAGUAACGAUAAAGCGGGUGAAAAGCCCGCUCGCCGGAAGACCAAGGGUUCCUGUCCAACGUUAAUCGGGGCAGGGUGAGUCGACCCCUAAGGCGAGGCCGAAAGGCGUAGUCGAUGGGAAACAGGUUAAUAUUCCUGUACUUGGUGUUACUGCGAAGGGGGGACGGAGAAGGCUAUGUUGGCCGGGCGACGGUUGUCCCGGUUUAAGCGUGUAGGCUGAUUUUCCAGGCAAAUCCGGAAAAUCAAGGCUGAGGCGUGAUGACGAGGCACUACGGUGCUGAAGCAACAAAUGCCCUGCUUCCAGGAAAAGCCUCUAAGCAUCAGGUAACAUCAAAUCGUACCCCAAACCGACACAGGUGGUCAGGUAGAGAAUACCAAGGCGCUUGAGAGAACUCGGGUGAAGGAACUAGGCAAAAUGGUGCCGUAACUUCGGGAGAAGGCACGCUGAUAUGUAGGUGAAGCCACUUGCGCAUGGAGCUGAAAUCAGUCGAAGAUACCAGCUGGCUGCAACUGUUUAUUAAAAACACAGCACUGUGCAAACACGAAAGUGGACGUAUACGGUGUGACGCCUGCCCGGUGCCGGAAGGUUAAUUGAUGGGGUUAGCGGUAACGCGAAGCUCUUGAUCGAAGCCCCGGUAAACGGCGGCCGUAACUAUAACGGUCCUAAGGUAGCGAAAUUCCUUGUCGGGUAAGUUCCGACCUGCACGAAUGGCGUAAUGAUGGCCAGGCUGUCUCCACCCGAGACUCAGUGAAAUUGAACUCGCUGUGAAGAUGCAGUGUACCCGCGGCAAGACGGAAAGACCCCGUGAACCUUUACUAUAGCUUGACACUGAACAUUGAGCCUUGAUGUGUAGGAUAGGUGGGAGGCUUUGAAGUGUGGACGCCAGUCUGCAUGGAGCCGGCCUUGAAAUACCACCCUUUAAUGUUUGAUGUUCUAACGUUGGCCC
rnacentral:rRNA from 1 species